rnacentral:rRNA from 1 species
UACCAGCUCUCCGAGUGGUGUGGAUGUUUAUUGGGCCUAAAGCAUCCGUAGCUGGCUGGGCAAGUCCCCUGUUAAAUCCACCGAUUUAAUCGUUGGUGUGCGGGGGAUACUGUUCGGCUAGGGGACGGGAGAGGCCGACGGUAUUUUCGGGGUAGGGGUGAAAUCCUAUAACCCCGGGAAGACCACCAGUGGCGAAGGCUGUCGGCUAGAACGCGCCCGACGGUGAGGGAUGAAAGCUGGGGGAGCGAACCGGAUUAGAUACCCGGGUAGUCCCAGCUGUAAACGAUGCAGGCUAGGUGUUUGGGCGGCCACGUGCCGCUCUAGUGCCGCAGAGAAGUCGUUAAGCCUGCCGCCUGGGGAGUACGGCCGCAAGGCUGAAACUUAAAGGAAUUGGCGGGGAGCACCACAAGGGGUGAAGCUUGCGGUUU